UGGGGAAUUGUUCACAAUGGGCGCAAGCCUGAUGACGCAACGCCGCGUGGAGGAUGAAGGUCUUCGGAUUGUAAACUCCUGUUGCUCGGGACGAAAAGCUCUGACCUAACACGUUAGAGUCUGACGGUACCGAGUGAGGAAGCCCCGGCUAACUCUGUGCCAGCAGCCGCGGUAAUACAGAGGGGGCAAGCGUUGUUCGGAAUUACUGGGCGUAAAGGGCGCGUAGGCGGCCCUCUAAGUCAGACGUGAAAUCCCCGGGCUCAACCCGGGAACUGCGUCUGAUACUGGAGGGCUUGAAUCCGGGAGAGGGAUGCGGAAUUCCAGGUGUAGCGGUGAAAUGCGUAGAUAUCUGGAGGAACACCGGUGGCGAAGGCGGCAUCCUGGACCGGUAUUGACGCUGAGGCGCGAAAGCCAGGGGAGCAAACGGGAUUAGAUACCCCCGUAGUCCCUGAGCGGGCUGGCAAGGCGCAU
rnacentral:rRNA from 1 species